AUCAAGCAGGGAGACUUCUUAUUAAACCGUAUCCAGAAGUUAUCUCGUGUGAUUGAUCUGUGAAGCUUGUUGGCAUUUUUUGUGAUUUGCUAAGGAUGCCAAAAUUCAAGGUUUCCAAAGAAAAAUGGAGCAUAGGGCUUCAUAUUGGUUGUUUUUCAUUGAAUCAAUCUAAUACUAGUUGAGUAGUUCUUUAUUUGUUUCUUCAAAUAUGUUAAGAAUUUAAGCAUAUUGCUGAUUUAAGAUGCGAGUUCUCUGUUUCUUGUGCUAAAAAAACCAAUAUGAAGCCCUAUGCUCCAUUUU
rnacentral:misc_RNA from 1 species